rnacentral:lncRNA from 1 species
CACUGUCAGACCAGCCUACCAGGCAGAUAGUAAGAGCAGCAGCACACAGGAACUUGUUAAUCCAGAGGAUGUUAUCCAUUGGCAUAUUUGCACACAAAGUAGUUAUCUGAAGCUCACGAUGGCAAAAUGGACAACAAAUGCAGCAGUUUCCAUCACAAGAAAACAACACAUUGGAUUAGUAAUGAGCAUACAUCACUGGAUAAGUAAUAUAUAUGGUUCAUUAUGUACACAGUUCCUUCAAUACAAACAAAAUCCCAUAUAGCAUCAGCAUUAGCUGACUAAAAUCAUAGGCAUCAUCUCUGUUGCAAACAGUUUUUAUUUUGCGAAAAGAUCAAGUGUAGUAUCAUGUUCCUAAAUAUACAUAAAAGCAAAAGGACUGAGGGCAGUAAUGUAUCAGUUCUCAUCUGCCACAUAAAUUCAGUAAAAAGAAUUGUAGGCAUCAACAUCGUAUCUAAAAUCCAGCAUGGAAAUAUGUAAUGAAAUGCACCCGUUUCUAUCACGGGAAAAUGCAAACAAGAUGCACCAUGGACAAAGAUAAUACCCCUCUCUUUUAGUGGGGCAAAGUACUGUAAUUGACCGUUUGCCGGUACAAACUGUUAUCUUCCAUUUGCUUAGCAUUGAAUUUCAACACAAUUUAGGGAUUGUAACUACAGAGUAAGAGUUUAUGUUACUAUGGUAGCAUGACUAACUCACGAUAUGUUCCCUCUUACGGAUACAGAACCAAAUUGUAGAGCUCACCUAAUUGUCCAAAUAGGUGAGGCGAUGGUAAGAAAUUUUUCCAUAAACAAAAUAUUGGACAGGAGCAUGGCAGGAGGAGGCGUCCCUUGGCAACACGGACGGGAGCACACACAGCGG